AUGGACACGAGGGCCCCCACUCAGCUGCUGGGGCUCCUGCUGCUCUGGCUCCCAGGUGCCACAUUUGCCGUCGUGCUGACCCAGACUCCAGCCUCCACGUCUGCAGCUGUGGGAGGCACAGUCACCAUCAAUUGCCAGGCCAGUGAGGACAUUUAUAGCUAUUUAGCCUGGUAUCAGCAGAAACCAGGGCAGCCUCCCAAGCUCCUGAUCUAUGGUGCAUCCGAUCUGGCAUCUGGCGUCCCAUCUCGGUUCAGCGGCAGUGGAUCUGGGACACAGUACACUCUCACCAUCAGCGGCGUGCAGUGUGCCGAUGCUGCCACUUACUACUGUCAGCAUGCUUAUGGUUAUAGUAGUGGUAAUAUUGGUACCACAGUGAUCCAAGCCCUAACAAAAACCCCCCAGGAAAGCAGAAGUCUUGCUUGCUUGGCCGGCUGGAACGCCAUGACAGGCCUCAUCCUGGACCAGGAAGGAAGCAGGCCGGGCCCUUGA